CGGACGUGGGUAACCUGCCCAUCAGAGGGGGAUAACAUUCGGAAACGGAUGCUAAAACCGCAUGGGUCUUCGAACCGCAUGGUUUGAAGAGGAAAAGAGGCGCAAGCUUCUGCUGAUGGAUGGACCCGCGGUGCAUUAGCUAGUUGGUGAGGUAACGGCUCACCAAGGCCGUGAUGCAUAGCCGACCUGAGAGGGUGAUCGGCCACAUUGGGACUGAGACACGGCCCAA
rnacentral:rRNA from 1 species